GGAAUGCCUGCAGCCCAGGAUUCCUCCUAAGCCGUGUCCCAUCUGUAUGCGACCCCACUGGAAAUCAGACUGUCCAACUCACCCCCUAGAGCCCCUGGAACUCUGGCCCAAGGCUCUCUGACUCCCUCCCAGAUCUUCUUGGCUUAGCGGCUGAAGACUGAUGCUGCCUGAUAGCCUCGGAAGCCCCCUAGACCUUCACGGAUGCCAAGCUUCAGGUAACUCUCACAGUGGAGGAAAAGCUAUUUUCCAAGAAGAAAAAGAAAAUGGAAGUACAAAUUUCCAACAGCACACAUUUUCUCUGCUCUCUCCUUGGCUCUGAAAGAGGAUGCGUGAAACAGAAUUUCAGGCUGUAAUUAAUGCAGCUCUUCAUAAGAUAAGAGGUUCUUUUAUCUACAGAAAAAUUGCUGCACUAAUUCCCAACAAGAAGUGCAAUGCUCCGGUUAAUGCUCUUUCUACAAGAAGAAUUCACCUUUUCUACCCUCUACAUAUUUACAGACAAAUUUGAAUAUUUUGUUAUGGGAAACUGAAGAUGGGUAAACAUACAAUGAUAAUAGUACUUUAUAGGGCUAAAUCUAAAAGCCUUAAAGAUUAAUAUUAUGUUUGGAUAAAUGCUGAAUAAGUUUACAUAAAGAAUUUUCAAAUAACAUUGACGCUACAGGCAUGUACUUGUAAGCACAGACCUUAAUUGGGCACAACUUAGAUCCAGCACUCUUUGAGGGGGAGAAUAAACAAAUUGGGAAAUGCAUCCUCAUUUGAUACAGUGAGGAAAAAGAGCUAUGGUUCCUUGCUCUGCUUUAAAGUACUGUCCAAAGAAGGAUGAAGCCCCGCUAUUUCAUUUUGAUUUAAAUAUUUCCUUGUAGAAUGCACAUUCCAAUUUGGAAACAAUACUUUCUAUAUGUAUGUUUCAUGUAUGUGCUUGGAAUAAUUGGUAAUGUGUUGGCACUGUGUUCCACUUAAAUGCAUGGCAUUUGUAUACUAUUUAAUGUUUUGUUGUUGUUGUUGUUUUUGAGAUGGAGUCUCAGUCUGUUGCCCAGGCUGGAGUGCAAUGGUGUGAUCUAGGCUCACUGCAACCUCUGCCUCCCGGGUUCAAGCAAUUCUCCUGCCUCAGCCUCCUGAGUAACUGGGAUUACAGGCGCCUGCCACCACGCCUGGCUAAUUUUUUUUUUUUUUUUUUUUUUUUUUUUUUUUUUUUUUUUUAGUAGAGAUGGGGUUUCUCCAUGUUGGCCAGACUGGUCUUGAACUCCUGAACUCAGGUGAUCCACACACCUUGGCCUCCCAAAGUGCUGGGAUUACAGGCGUGAGCCACUGCACCGGCCUUUUAAUGUUUUCUUAAAAACCAGUUUUCUAAGAAAAAAAGAAGAAUGGGAAUACAGCAAAUGAGUAGAAGACAGAGAUCACAAGAAUCGUGCCUGAGGUCCUGGCAAAGAAGACCCCACUGUAAGGCAGAAUGGCACCUCUGAUUCAUUGGCCCCUUUGUAUUGUUCUCAAUUUCUAUAUCCAUAAAUAAUAAGAUUUUCAUUCCCUUCCUUCCACUCUGUGAGGUGGAUGUGAAAUAGGUAGAGAGGUUUGUCACUGGGUGCAAGGCUAAGAUGCUCAGUUAAAGCAGGAAAUUACGUUGUUUGGCUGAGAAAUACGUGUAAUUUCUAAGUGUGAUUAUUGCAAGUAAAAAUGAGUGAUGUUUCAACAAGAGGGUUAUUGUAAUUCAGGGUAUAGCAACAAUUUUAAUGUAAGCGAGAAGAUGUUUGUAACACUUCCAAAAAAAUAGUACUGUAUCAGUCCAGUGUCCACUUUCCUCCAAACCUUCGUGCCCACGCACACACACAUAAAUACAUGCAGGAUUCCUGAGCAGGGAAGGAUCCUUUCUCACGUGUUCACAAAGAGACUUUUAAGCUCAGAACCUCUUGAGGGUGAGAAACUUUUCUUGGCAGACUAUCAACUGGUUCUGAGUGAACAAAUCCGACAGAGCCCUUUUCCUUGCUUCUUUUUGUUCAUAUUGUUCAC
rnacentral:lncRNA from 1 species